CCCACACAGAACCAAAUCAGCCAAGCGGCGGCCAGCAAGUCAUUACUCCUCAAACUUCCCGAUAAAAAUCCCUUCCCUCUUCAGUCAUGUUGAAGCAUGGCAUCUGCUAACGUACACAACCCUGCUGCUAAAUCAGAAAUACGCAGGAGCCAGCAAAGGAGUUUGAGGUGUAGAAGUUGACGUCUGAAGAGCAACUCAUCUGACCACCUGCACCUCAGACAGGAACAGGGCUGAGGAAACGAUGAGCUGCAAAGGAUGUUGGGGCUUCAACUCGACAACAAGAGGAAAUGCUUGACGUUUGCAGUCAGAGCGUAUGCUGUCUCGGCCUUCCUAAGACUGACCUUGAUAGAUUUCAGACAAAACAGGGCCUCAAAAGUAUUUAUAUCCCUUACACUUUCCAAUAUUUUAUGAUGUUACGACCAUAAGCUUAAAUGUGUUUUAUUCGGAUCUUAUAUAAUGGUCUAACACACAAUAGUGCAUAAUUGUGAAGAGGAAUAAAAAAUUUUUAAGCCUACUUAAAAAAAAUAAUUUUUUUUAUUGCAUUAGCAAUCAGCCCUUUUGAGUCAAUAGUAGAUACUAGUGGUUUGUUUGUAUAAGCUUUGCAUGCCAAUAAACUAUCCAAUCUUUUCCCAUUUUUCCAUAUGGAGAUGGAUAUGUUUCAAAAUAUCCGUGCUUAUAUUUUGGAUGUGAAGAGCUGUGCAUCACGAUACGAGAGGUUGCAGAGCAAAACAUCUCAACUUGCACGGCUAAAUAUUUACUGGCAACAUCGUCACAUGGGCGUAAAAUCAAUUUGAGCUUGUGAGUGAAAUUGUCACGUGCGAAAACAAAUUCCACACAAACAGGCUCUGCAUGUGAACUUCUAGAAAAUAAAUUGCAAAUGAGAUUUGUCUUUACUUGUAUCAGUGUUUCCACUAUGACAACAGGUCAGUAAACACAACUUCUUGA